rnacentral:rRNA from 1 species
UACGGAGGGUGCGAGCGUUGUCCGGAAUCACUGGGCGUAAAGGGCGCGUAGGCGGCCUGAUAAGUAGGGGGUGAAAUCCUGCGGCUUAACCGCAGGGCUGCCUUCUAAACUGUCGGGCUCGAGCACAGUAGAGGCAGGUGGAAUUCCCGGUGUAGCGGUGGAAUGCGUAGAGAUCGGGAAGAACAUCAGUGGCGAAGGCGGCCAUCUGGACCAGCACUGACACUGAGGCACGAAAGCGUGGGGAGCAAACAGG